UGACCGCUGGCGGCGUGCCUACUACAUGCAAGUCGAGCGAACGGACGAGAAGCUUGCUUUUCUGAUGUUAGCGGCGGACGGGUGAGUAACACGUGGAUAACCUACCUAUAAGACUGGGAUAACUUCGGGAAACCGGAGCUAAUACCGGAUAAUAUUUUGAACCGCAUGGUUCAAAAGUGAAAGACGGUCUUGCUGUCACUUAUAGAUGGAUCCGCGCUGCAUUAGCUAGUUGGUAAGGUAACGGCUUACCAAGGCAACGAUGCAUAGCCGACCUGAGAGGGUGAUCGGCCACACUGGAACUGAGACACGGUCCAGACUCCUACGGGAGGCAGCAGUAGGGAAUCUUCCGCAAUGGGCGAAAGCCUGACGGAGCAACGCCGCGUGAGUGAUGAAGGUCUUCGGAUCGUAAAACUCUGUUAUUAGGGAAGAACAUAUGUGUAAGUAACUGUGCACAUCUUGACGGUACCUAAUCAGAAAGCCACGGCUAACUACGUG
rnacentral:rRNA from 1 species